UACGUAGGGUGCAAGCGUUAAUCGGAAUUACUGGGCGUAAAGGGCGCGUAGGCGGACAGUUUAGUCAGAGGUGAAAGCCCAGGGCUCAACCUUGGAAUUGCCUUUGAUACUGGCUGUCUUGAGUACGGGAGAGGUGAGUGGAACUCCGAGUGUAGAGGUGAAAUUCGUAGAUAUUCGGAAGAACACCAGUGGCGAAGGCGACUCACUGGCCCGUUACUGACGCUGAGGCGCGAAAGCGUGGGGAGCAAACAGG
rnacentral:rRNA from 1 species